rnacentral:snRNA from 1 species
UUGUGCCACUGCACUCCAGCCUGGGCGACAGAGCAGGACUCCGUCUCAAAAAAAAAAGAAAAAAUUGGAAUGAUACAGAGAAGAUUGGCAUGGUCCCUGUGCAAGGAUGACAUGCAAAUUUGUAAAGUGUUCCAUAAAAAA